GACAGAGGUGCCGAGCGUUAGGCGGAAUCACUGGGCUUAAAGCGUGUGUAGGCGGGUCCGUCAGUACCUUGUGAAAUCCCACGGCUCAACCGUGGAACUGCUUGGUAUACUGCGGGUCUUGAGCCACCUAGGGGCAAGCGGAACAAGCGGUGGAGCGGUGAAAUGCGUAGAUAUCGCUUGGAACGCCAAUGGUGAAAACAGGUAGCUGGGGCUGUGCUGACGCUGAGACACGAAAGCCAGGGGAGCAAACGGG
rnacentral:rRNA from 1 species